rnacentral:rRNA from 1 species
UUCGGCCAUAGUGGCGCACGGGUGAGUAACGCGUGGGAACCUGCCCAGCAGUGGGGGAUAACUUCGGGAAACCGGGGCUAAUACCGCAUACGCCCUUAGGGGGAAAGAUUUAUCGCUGUUGGAGGGGCCCGCGUCCGAUUAGUUUGUUGGUGGGGUAAUGGCCUACCAAGACUACGAUCGGUAGCUGGUCUGAGAGGAUGAUCAGCCACACUGGGACUGAGACACGGCCCAGACUCCUACGGGAGGCAGCAGUGGGGAAUAUUGGACAAUGGGCGCAAGCCUGAUCCAGCAAUGCCGCGUGAGUGAUGAAGGCCUUAGGGUUGUAAAGCUCUUUCGGCGGGGACGAUGAUGACGGUACCCGCAGAAGAAGCCCCGGCUAACUUCGUGCCAGCAGCCGCGGUAAUACGAAGGGGGCUAGCGUUGUUCGGAAUUACUGGGCGUAAAGAGCACGUAGGCGGUUCGUUAAA